rnacentral:rRNA from 1 species
CCCUUAGAUGUUCUGGGCCGCACGCGCGCUACACUGAUGCAUUCAACGAGUUUCUUCCUGGUCCGAGAGGAAUGGGUAACCUUUUGAAAGUGCAUCGUGAUAGGGAUAGACUAUUGCAAUUAUUGGUCUUCAACGAGGAAUUCCUAGUAGACGUAGUUCAUCAGACUGCAUCGAUUACGUCCCUGCCCUUUGUACACACCGCCCGUCGCUCCUACCGAUUGAAUGCUCAGGUGAGCCAUUCGGACUUUCAUCAUGCUGGUUUCCAGUUUUGAUGAAGGAAAGUCUUGCGAACCUUAUCACUUAGAGGAAGGAGGAGUCGUAACA